CGGAGGGCGUAGCGUUGUUCGGAAUUACUGGGCGUAAAGACGCACGUAGGCGGAUUAAUAAGUCAGGGUGAAAUCCCGGGGCGUCAACCCCGGAACUGCCUUUGAUACUGUUAGUCUUGAGGUCGAGAGAGGUGAGUGGAAUUCCGAGUGUAGAGGUGAAAUUCGUAGAUAUUCGGAGGAACACCAGUGGCGAAGGCGGCUCACUGGCUCGAUACUGACGCUGAGGUGCGAAAGCGUGGGAGCAAACAGGAUU
rnacentral:rRNA from 1 species